rnacentral:lncRNA from 1 species
GCUUGGACAUGUAGGACAGAGUCACGUGGCAGGACUGCUUCUGUCUACAGCUUGGUCAGUUUUAAGAUGGGCAGUGAUUCCCUCAGCUGUACAACUAUUACAAGCAUAGUUUGCCACUGGGGAGAAUUAAGACUGAAAGAGAAGUGCAUGUAUACAUGUCAGAGAUCCAGGUCAAGACUAGUAUCACAAAUAGAAUUUAAGGAGGGAAAGAACUGGUCAUGUCUGGCUCCAGAAUCAAGGAAACAGAGAAGACAAAGAGGAAAGAUUUCUGGAGAAGUCUCUCAGGCUUUGUCAUGAUGGAAGAGACUAUCCGUCUUCUCUGUUCACUAGAAAUAAUAAUAAAACAGUUGCCGUAGUCA